rnacentral:tRNA from 1 species
UCCCCAGUGGCGCAAUUGGUUAGCGCGCGGUACUUAUAAUGGCGAGGUUGUGAGUUCGAUCCUCACACCUGGGGAA